AACGAACGCUGGCGGCGUGCUUAACACAUGCAAGUCGAACGGUGAAAGCGGAGCUUGCUCCGCUGGAUCAGUGGCGAACGGGUGAGUAACACGUGGGCAACCUGCCCCUCACUUCGGGAUAACUCCGGGAAACCGGGGCUAAUACCGGAUAUGACCUCCUUGGGCAUCCUUGGAGGUGGAAAGUUUUUCGGUGAGGGAUGGGCCCGCGGCCUAUCAGCUUGUUGGUGAGGUAGUGGCUCACCAAGGCGACGACGGGUAGCCGGCCUGAGAGGGCGAACGGCCACACUGGGACUGAGACACGGCCCAGACUCCUACGGGAGGCAGCAGUGGGGAAUAUUGCGCAAUGGGCGAAAGCCUGACGCAGCAACGCCGCGUGCGGGAUGACGGCCUUCGGGUUGUAAACCGCUUUCAGCAGGGAAGAAGCCGCAAGGUGACGGUACCUGCAGAAGAAGCACCGGCUAACUACGUGCCAGCAGCCGCGGUAAAAC
rnacentral:rRNA from 1 species